GCAUGGCAAUGUCAGACAAUCGAUUUUGCAGACUGGUCACUGAAAUUAGAGACAGGAUGAAUGCGCAAUGCAUUAGGAUUUUAAAUGAAGAUGUACCCGAAGAGAACUCUAUCCUGGAAAGCUUACAGGUAUUCCGGCAGCAAGAAGGUGCUAGGCCAUAUGGGAGGAGACGCGGCACAAGGCCUGGCGUAAGGCCACAGCAGGUGACUUUUAAAGUUUUGGUUCUGCGGAGCAACACAACUACCCGUUACAGCUCCAGAAAUGACGCCACCGAGGCCUGUAGGGUGGUAGUGCCUUUGGACCUCAGCCCUGCAGAAUUUCGUCAGGCACGGGGACAGUGUUCUGGACAAUGUUCCUGAAGUGCCUGACGAAUUUGACCUAUGCAGGGUCAAUGGGCAAAGGGAAGUUAUACGUUUGUCUGAAGACUGUCCCAUGGACAUCAGAAGAAGGGGAGCCUUAAUGAGAUCAAACCUCUACCUUCGGCCCAAGAUAUCCACCAGUGAACCUGAGACAAG